GCCGGGUGUGGUGGUGCACACCUGUAAUCCCAGCUACUCAGGAAGCUGAGGCAGGAGAAUUGCUUGAGCCCAGGAGGCAGAGGUUGCAGUGAGCUGAGAUCGCACCACUGCACUCCAGCCUGGGCAAUAGAUCAAGACUCUGCCUCAA
ensembl:misc_RNA Metazoa_SRP Metazoan signal recognition particle RNA